UACGGGGGGAGCAAGCGUUGUUCGGAUUUACUGGGCGUAAAGGGCGCGUAGGCGGCCACCGCAAGUCGACUGUGAAAUCUCCGGGCUUAACCCGGAAAGGUCAACUGAUACUGUGCGACUAGAGUGCGGAAGGGGCAACUGGAAUUCUCGGUGUAGCGGUGAAAUGCGUAGAUAUCGAGAGGAACACCUGCGGCGAAGGCGGGUUGCUGGGCCGACACUGACGCUGAUGCGCGAAAGCCAGGGGAGCGGACGGG
rnacentral:rRNA from 1 species